GAUGAAGAACGCAGCGAAAUGCGAUAAGUAAUGUGAAUUGCAGAAUUCAGUGAAUCAUCGAAUCUUUGAACGCACCUUGCGCUCCUUGGCAUUCCGAGGAGCAUGCCUGUUUGAGUGUCAUUAAAUUCUCAAGACCUGUCUGCUUUUUUGAUAGGUAUUGGAUUUUGGGGGUUGCAGGCUGUUUCAAAUAAAUAGACUUGCUCUCCUUGAAUGUAUUAGUGGAGAAAAGCCAUUGAACUCCAUUGGUGUGAUAAAACCUAUCAAUGCCAGGAGCAAUAUCACUACUUCUCUCUGCUGUCUAACUGUGACUGUCUGUAUUAAUUAGUAUGGAUGGGGACAACUUGACCAACUUGACCUCAAAUCAGGUAGGACUACCCGCUGAACUUAAGCAUAUCAAUAAGCGGAGGA
rnacentral:misc_RNA from 1 species